ACAUUGAAAAAUUUCUUUAGAAGAUAUUUUGAUAAAAUUAGGUAUUUAURUAGAUAAUUAAAAUAAUAAAAUAGUUAGUAUUAUUUAGAAUGUUGUGUUAUUUAUUUACUGUGAAGGCAAACAAUAUUUUUAUAAAAGAAAUAAUGAACAUAUGUACCUUGUGUAUUAGGGAUUAUUAAAAUARAAAGUAGGCUUAGUUUUCCCGAUGUAUUUGUGGGCUAAAUUUUAUUUUUAUUAAUGUUGCAUAAUUAAUAAUAAUUUAAGUUUAGGGAUGAUAUAUUAUUCAAACAAUAARAUUUCUGGUUCUUUAAGUAUUUAAUUUAAUUAAGGUUGGGUUUUCSUUUAAAUUCAAUUAAUAUCUAUAARGGGAUAAGCUUUUAUAGUUGUUUUAUAUACAUUAUAAUUAUUUAAAUUGUUUAGAUUUAAUAUUGAUCUAAUUUUUACAAUGUUAUAAUGAA
rnacentral:rRNA from 1 species